AUUUUCAAGUUAAAGAUAGACACAGUAUACACCAGGAUCUAGAAGCUGGAUUUUAAACUCGUGACUCUCCCCAGAAUUUGAGAGAGUCCUUCUUGUGAUCUCUGUUGUAAUGAACCGUUUGGUUCAGGUUUGUUCUUUAUGUGAACGUGCUCAGCAUUCCUCUAUGUUCUGGAUGUACUGGAAAUAAAAGGAUUUAAGAGAUCAUGGUGUACAUCCCCUAGGAAUGCCCAUCUGCUGCCUUUUCACCUUUUAUUUAAAUGUAUAGAUCUUUCUUCAAUCAACCACAUAGAAUAUUGGCUCUUCUAGCAGCUAUCAGAAGAUUUAAUCUUGAAUUGACUUGAAUAGGAGUGUGUGAAGACAUCUUCUCCAAGUUCUCUAAUAAGUGAGAUUUACCUGCCCCUGGAUGAAACCCUUGGAAAGUCUUUAAAUGCCAGAGUCGACUGCCAUUUCAAAGAAAAGAAAAUAGAUGGUUUUGGAAAGUUCAUGCUAUUUCUUCAUUGAAUUUUAG
rnacentral:lncRNA from 1 species